AUCCUCAGAUAGAAUCUAUCAUCCGUGACUGUUGGCAAAGGUAUAUGUUGAUCUUGCUCUAUUUCCUAUCUUUACUUUUUCAAAUGGAAGCAAAUGGACAAAAACUAACCAUUUCUUUGUGUUCCAAACAAGCAGUAAUCCAGAAAAUCGACCAUCGUUUGAAGACAUUAUCAAUAGAAUGACAGGCAUUGUCCAAAAAUCUGCCAUUGGAUUAGGUCGAAGACACUCGGAGCCUUGAAGUUGCAAUGGGGCAUUAGAAACAAUGUCACUUUUUUCAUUCAUUGGGUUGGCUAUAUUUUAGAGCUUAGGCUAACAGAAGAAAGACAUCAAACAAAUGCAUUGUACAAAUACCUUAGUUUGUAGCUUACCUUUAGUUACCAUUCCUCCCCAUUUUGGAAAACACGAAAUAAGAAGAGGGGAGACCAAGAGUGUUGCAAUGUAAGAUUUUGGGGUUUUUUAUAGAAGAAGAAAAGCAAAGCUACAAUAAUUAAUUUAAUUAUUAUUUGGAUUUAAUGUAUCUUUUUAAUGGAUUGAAAUGAAGUUAUUCCAAUGUAGUUGCUAUUCA
rnacentral:lncRNA from 1 species